UACAGAGGGUGCGAGCGUUGUCCGGAAUCACUGGGCGUAAAGGGCGCGUAGGCGGCCUACUAAGUCGAACGUGAAAUCCCCGGGCUCAACCCGGGAACUGCGUCCGAUACUGGUUGGCUUGAAUCCGGGAGAGGGAUGCGGAAUUCCAGGUGUAGCGGUGAAAUGCGUAGAUAUCGGGAGGAACACCAGAGGCGAAGGCGGGCUACUGGGCUGAUACUGACGCUGAUGCGCGAAAGCCAGGGGAGCAAACGGG
rnacentral:rRNA from 1 species